rfam:Listeria bacteriophage P100, complete genome.
GUGCCAUUCGCAUAGAGGCAAUUGCAGGGGACUGUAACUCCCCUCCCUUCGGGGUUCCAAGGUUCGAGUCCUUGAUGGCGCA